AACGUAGGGUGCGAGCGUUAAUCGGAAUUACUGGGCGUAAAGCGUGCGCAGGCGGUGAUGUAAGACAGAUGUGAAAUCCCCGGGCUCAACCUGGGACCUGCAUUUGUGACUGCAUCGCUAGAGUACGGCAGAGGGGGAUGGAAUUCCGCGUGUAGCAGUGAAAUGCGUAGAUAUGCGGAGGAACACCGAUGGCGAAGGCGAUCCCCUGGGCCUGUACUGACGCUCAUGCACGAAAGCGUGGGGAGCAAACAGG
rnacentral:rRNA from 1 species